rnacentral:rRNA from 1 species
UUAAGCGACUAAGCGUACACGGUGGAUGCCCUGGCAGUCAGAGGCGAUGAAGGACGUGCUAAUCUGCGAUAAGCGUCGGUAAGGUGAUAUGAACCGUUAUAACCGGCGAUUUCCGAAUGGGGAAACCCAGUGUGAUUCGUCACACUAUCAUUAACUGAAUCCAUAGGUUAAUGAGGCGAACCGGGGGAACUGAAACAUCUAAGUACCCCGAGGAAAAGAAAUCAACCGAGAUUCCCCCAGUAGCGGCGAGCGAACGGGGAGCAGCCCAGAGCCUGAAUCAGUGUGUGUGUUAGUGGAAGCGUCUGGAAAGGCGCGCGAUACAGGGUGACAGCCCCGUACACAAAAAUGCACAUNCUGUGAGCUCGAUGAGUAGGGCGGGACACGUGGUAUCCUGUCUGAAUAUGGGGGGACCAUCCUCCAAGGCUAAAUACUCCUGACUGACCGAUAGUGAACCAGUACCGUGAGGGAAAGGCGAAAAGAACCCCGGCGAGGGGAGUGAAAAAGAACCUGAAACCGUGUACGUACAAGCAGUGGGAGCACAGAGCAAUCUGUGUGACUGCGUACCUUUUGUAUAAUGGGUCAGCGACUUAUAUUCUGUAGCAAGGUUAACCGAAUAGGGGAGCCGAAGGGAAACCGAGUCUUAACUGGGCGUUAAGUUGCAGGGUAUAGACCCGAAACCCGGUGAUCUAGCCAUGGGCAGGUUGAAGGUUGGGUAACACUAACUGGAGGACCGAACCGACUAAUGUUGAAAAAUUAGCGGAUGACUUGUGGCUGGGGGUGAAAGGCCAAUCAAACCGGGAGAUAGCUGGUUCUCCCCGAAAGCUAUUUAGGUAGCGCCUCGUGAAUUCAUCUCCGGGGGUAGAGCACUGUUUCGGCAAGGGGGUCAUCCCGACUUACCAACCCGAUGCAAACUGCGAAUACCGGAGAAUGUUAUCACGGGAGACACACGGCGGGUGCUAACGUCCGUCGUGAAGAGGGAAACAACCCAGACCGCCAGCUAAGGUCCCAAAGUCAUGGUUAAGUGGGAAACGAUGUGGGAAGGCCCAGACAGCCAGGAUGUUGGCUUAGAAGCAGCCAUCAUUUAAAGAAAGCGUAAUAGCUCACUGGUCGAGUCGGCCUGCGCGGAAGAUGUAACGGGGCUAAACCAUGCACCGAAGCUGCGGCAGCGACGCUNAUGCUGGAGGUAUCAGAAGUGCGAAUGCUGACAUAAGUAACGAUAAAGCGGGUGAAAAGCCCGCUCGCCGGAAGACCAAGGGUUCCUGUCCAACGUUAAUCGGGGCAGGGUGAGUCGACCCCUAAGGCGAGGCCGAAAGGCGUAGUCGAUGGGAAACAGGUUAAUAUUCCUGUACUUGGUGUUACUGCGAAGGGGGGACGGAGAAGGCUAUGUUGGCCGGGCGACGGUUGUCCCGGUUUAAGCGUGUAGGCUGGUUUUCCAGGCAAAUCCGGAAAAUCAAGGCUGAGGCGUGAUGACGAGGCACUACGGUGCUGAAGCAACAAAUGCCCUGCUUCCAGGAAAAGCCUCUAAGCAUCAGGUAACAUCAAAUCGUACCCCAAACCGACACAGGUGGUCAGGUAGAGAAUACCAAGGCGCUUGAGAGAACUCGGGUGAAGGAACUAGGCAAAAUGGUGCCGUAACUUCGGGAGAAGGCACGCUGAUAUGUAGGUGAAGUCCCUCGCGGAUGGAGCUGAAAUCAGUCGAAGAUACCAGCUGGCUGCAACUGUUUAUUAAAAACACAGCACUGUGCAAACACGAAAGUGGACGUAUACGGUGUGACGCCUGCCCGGUGCCGGAAGGUUAAUUGAUGGGGUUAGCGCAAGCGAAGCUCUUGAUCGAAGCCCCGGUAAACGGCGGCCGUAACUAUAACGGUCCUAAGGUAGCGAAAUUCCUUGUCGGGUAAGUUCCGACCUGCACGAAUGGCGUAAUGAUGGCCAGGCUGUCUCCACCCGAGACUCAGUGAAAUUGAACUCGCUGUGAAGAUGCAGUGUACCCGCGGCAAGACGGAAAGACCCCGUGAACCUUUACUAUAGCUUGACACUGAACAUUGAGCCUUGAUGUGUAGGAUAGGUGGGAGGCUUUGAAGUGUGGACGCCAGUCUGCAUGGAGCCGACCUUGAAAUACCACCCUUUAAUGUUUGAUGUUCUAACGUUGACCCGUAAUCCGGGUUGCGGACAGUGUCUGGUGGGUAGUUUGACUGGGGCGGUCUCCUCCUAAAGAGUAACGGAGGAGCACGAAGGUUGGCUAAUCCUGGUCGGACAUCAGGAGGUUAGUGCAAUGGCAUAAGCCAGCUUGACUGCGAGCGUGACGGCGCGAGCAGGUGCGAAAGCAGGUCAUAGUGAUCCGGUGGUUCUGAAUGGAAGGGCCAUCGCUCAACGGAUAAAAGGUACUCCGGGGAUAACAGGCUGAUACCGCCCAAGAGUUCAUAUCGACGGCGGUGUUUGGCACCUCGAUGUCGGCUCAUCACAUCCUGGGGCUGAAGUAGGUCCCAAGGGUAUGGCUGUUCGCCAUUUAAAGUGGUACGCGAGCUGGGUUUAGAACGUCGUGAGACAGUUCGGUCCCUAUCUGCCGUGGGCGCUGGAGAAUUGAGGGGGGCUGCUCCUAGUACGAGAGGACCGGAGUGGACGCAUCACUGGUGUUCGGGUUGUCAUGCCAAUGGCACUGCCCGGUAGCUAAAUGCGGAAGAGAUAAGUGCUGAAAGCAUCUAAGCACGAAACUUGCCCCGAGAUGAGUUCUCCCUGACUCCUUGAGAGUCCUGAAGGAACGUUGAAGACGACGACGUUGAUAGGCCGGGUGUGUAAGCGCAGCGAUGCGUUGAGCUAACCGGUACUAAUGAACCGUGAGGCUUAACCUU